GGGUUGUGAGGUUAAGCGACUAAGCGUACACGGUGGAUGCCCUGGCAGUCAGAGGCGAUGAAGGGCGUGCUAAUCUGCGAUAAGCGCCGGUAAGGUGAUAUGAACCGUUAUAACCGGCGAUACCCGAAUGGGGAAACCCAGUGUGACUCGUCACACUAUCAUUAACUGAAUCCAUAGGUUAAUGAGGCGAACCGGGGGAACUGAAACAUCUAAGUACCCCGAGGAAAAGAAAUCAACCGAGAUUCCCCCAGUAGCGGCGAGCGAACGGGGAGGAGCCCAGAGCCUGAAUCAGCAUGUGUGUUAGUGGAAGCGUCUGGAAAGGCGCGCGAUACAGGGUGACAGCCCCGUACACAAAAGCGCAUAUGCUGUGAGCUCGAUGAGUAGGGCGGGACACGUGGUAUCCUGUCUGAAUAUGGGGGGACCAUCCUCCAAGGCUAAAUACUCCUGACUGACCGAUAGUGAACCAGUACCGUGAGGGAAAGGCGAAAAGAACCCCGGCGAGGGGAGUGAAAAAGAACCUGAAACCGUGUACGUACAAGCAGUGGGAGCCUCUUUUAUGGGGUGACUGCGUACCUUUUGUAUAAUGGGUCAGCGACUUAUAUUCUGUAGCAAGGUUAACCGUAUAGGGGAGCCG
rnacentral:rRNA from 1 species